AUGAACGCUGGCGGCGUGCUUAACACAUGCAAGUCGAACGAUUAAAGCUCACUUCGGUGAGUGUAUAGAGUGGCGAACGGGUGAGUAACACGUGGGAAACCUGCCCCUUUCUUCGGGAUAACUUCGGGAAACCGUUGCUAAUACCGGAUACUCCGGGAUGGUCGCAUGGCCGACCCGGGAAAGCUUUAUGUGGUAAGGGAUGGUCCCGCGGCCCAUUAGCUUGUUGGUGGGGUAAUGGCCUACCAAGGCAAUGAUGGGUAGCCG
rnacentral:rRNA from 1 species